rnacentral:piRNA from 1 species
UGAAGUGAGUUGUUUCAUGGCAGUAG